AUGAAUUAUGAGUUUAAUAGAUCCUCUUUAGCAGAAAGACGUAUAUUCCUUGCUCAUUAUCAGACAAUCACUUAUUCCCAAACCUCGUGUGGGACUAAUCGUUUUCACUUACCAUCUCAUGGAAAACCCUUUCCGUUCUGAUUAGCCCUGUCGGGUAUUUUAGUGAUAGGUUCCGUAGGAACUGGACUAUCCUAUUUGGUCAAAUACCUAACAAAAAAUUAUGAUUUUCCUUUCAUUAAGGUAUGAGGGCUUCUUAUUCCAUAAGAACGACAACACCUUUUCAUUCUUUCAUAUACUAGGGGUUUUUACUUGGAAAAUACAAUGUUCCAUACUAAAGGAUUCGGGUCCAUAACCACGAGUUCAAGUGCACUAGAUCUUGUAGCACUUAGCAACAAAGCCCUAUCCAUUAGUAUUCCACAUCAGAAAUCCAUUCUAGAAAAAAAAUACAAUUAG
rnacentral:rRNA from 1 species